rnacentral:tRNA from 1 species
AAGAAAGAAAACAAGAGCUGCUAACUCAUGUACCCAUAUAUAAAAAUAUGGCUUUCUU